GGCCCCAUAGUUCAAGGGAUAGAAUGGAAGUUUCCGGAACUUCAGAUGCAGGUUCGAGUCCUGCUGGGGCUA
rnacentral:tRNA from 1 species